GACCAUUCAGAAGGCUGUCCACCCGUCCUCAGCCCCCUCCCUUCGUGGGCUAUCUACUCAGUUGAUCCCUCCCUCGCUGGCUUGGCUCUGACUCCUGCUCAGACCCAUCACCUUUGCCGGCAAUGAUGUCUGGAGAACCCCUGCACGUGAAGACCCCCAUCCGUGACAGCAUGGCCCUGUCCAAAAUGGCCGGCACCAGCGUCUACCUCAAGAUGGACAGUGCCCAGCCCUCCGGCUCCUUCAAGAUCCGGGGCAUUGGGCACUUCUGCAAGAGGGUACGGGACCGGGUCAGCAUUAUCUGGGCAGGGGUGGCAGGUCCUCCUUCCUCAACAGGGCAGGGCCAGUGCUGUGUGAAAUUAAAGGCGUUGUAGGAUAAGCCUACUGACUCCCCACAAGGACUGAGUGUCCACCAUUAGGGCUUCCUCUGUUUGAGGGGUGCCCUUCCAGGAGGGUUCCUUGGGACUGAUCCCAGAGCCAUCAGUCGCCUAUUUUCCUCCACCCUUUCCUGAGCCAGUCUCUUUGGAGAUGGGAGGUGCAGUCUCAGACAAGGGUAGAACAAAUUCUGAGUGAAGGAAA
rnacentral:sRNA from 1 species